ensembl:lncRNA
GAAAAGUUUGCCCCAGGGGUGAACCAAAAAUGUGGCAGCUCUUCUGAGCAGCAUCUCUCUAGUCUCACCAGCCUCUGGCCACAAUGCCAGUUUCAGGAUGCUGAGGCUGCUGCCAGGUCUCCACUGGGGGACUUGGAUGGACAGCAUGCACUCAACCAGUGGCUUAACCCAGCACUGCAACGGCCACAGAGUCCAGUUCCCUACUCACAGGACGUCCAGGAUCGAAGGUCAAGUCUGGGGAAGAAUCACUGGUGUUCUGUAUCAAAUCCCAUCUUGAAGGCCUUCCGGUCCAGACCUCAGCUUCCGGGAAAGACGUUUACUGUCGGCUCCCGCCCAGUGGACAGAAAUAAGUGGGUGACCACAAAGCCUGACUCAUGUCGCCUGGUCUACUAACCAUCCGUCUGCAAUCCGUAUUAACAGGGCUUCUGGGAUUGGCUGUCAAGUCUGAGGAAGAGCCAGCUCAUGCCAGUGUAAUUGGUGGUACUUGAGGAGAGGUUUUCUAGGUCUCCGUUUCUUUCAUGAGGAUGAAACACACCUGGUUAACCUUUUUUCCAGUAUCAGAUCCCACCUUGGAGGCCUUCUGGUCCAGACCUCAGCCUGUGGGAUGGGGUGCUGUGGACACGAAUAACUUGUUGCCCACAAGCCUGCCCUGUAUUUCUGAUUUUAGUUACCUAUUCCACUAACCAUCAGUAUCUUAUCCAUUCUCAGGAGUACUUCCCGAAGGAAUGCCCACCUAGAGGAAGACCAUGGUCCCCAAGAUAGCUCCAUGCCUGAAACACGCAGGGAGCAGUGCUGCUGUCCAGGAAGAAGCUGUGUGUCUGGAGGUGGCUCUUUUCUGCGAUCCUCAAGGAGAGGUUUCCUUCGUAUACUCCAUCUUUUAUGACAAAUUACUCACACCAAAGGGCUUCCCCAGCGGCUCAGCUGAUAAUGAACCCACCUUCCAAUGCAGGAGAUAUGAGAGAUACAGGUUCCAUCCCUGAGUCAAGAAGAUCCCCUGGAGAUGGAAAUGGCAAGCUGCUCCAGUAAGUCUUCCCUGGAGAAUUCCAUGGACAGAGGAGCCUGGCAGGCGGCAGCCCAUGGGGUCGCAAAGAGUUGGACAUGACUGAGCAUGCACACAUCAGGAGGCAUCCACAUCAACCUCUCUUCAGUAUCAAAUACCAGCUUGGAAGAUGUCCUGAACGACACGGAAGUUGUCAGCUCAAGUCCAGGGACUCCAUGGAGGUGAAGCCAGCCUCUGGGGAAGGAAGUGGUUCUUGGUCGGCUCCAAAGCCGGGGCACAGAGGUAGGUCAUCUGCCUUGUGUUUGCUUCAAUGGCAGUAGGCCAUGUCUCAGUGCUGGGCUUUUUCGUGGCAGCUGGGGAAGGGGCAUGGGUUCUUGGGAAGCCCCAGGUCUUUCCACUUCAUCCCCACUUGGUUUGAUGAGUGUCAGAACGGCUGCGGUGAUAGCCAUGAACGGCACUGAAGAAAGUGAAAGUGUUAGUCGCUUGUUGUGCCUGACUCUUUGCGACCCCAUGGACUGUAGCCCACCAGGCUCCUUCAUCCAUGGAAUUUUCCAGGCAAAAAUACUGGCGUGGGUUGCCUUCCUUCUCCAGGGGAAUCUUCUCAACCCAGGGUUCGAACCCAGCUGCCUGCAUUGCAGGCAGCUUCUUUACCAUCUGAGCCACCAGGAAGGCCUACCAGUCUUUUAUAUCCUGUUAGCUGAUGCCCAAACAUCAUUCCUUACACCAGAAAAGAGCCAUGAGGGGAAAAAUAGAGAAAGGUGAAGAAGUGGGGUUACGGCGGGGGCCAUCGCCUCUGAUGUGUCCAGGGUAGCGGCUGCUGCGUUCUUACAGGCUGGGCGCUCUGGUGGCUCACCGGGGAUCAGAGACAGAUUGUCAGGGUGGAGGGGGCCAGCCUGAGUGGUGACCCUCUUUGUCCUCAGCUCUAAAGGUCAGCUACGGAGAGAGGGGAGGGCACCAUUAUACCACUUGACAAGAGAAAACCUGGGUUUCUUUUUCUGUGACUUUUGAGUCCUAGCUCUCCAGGCCUGUUGGGGUGGGCCUGCCUCCUUAGUGAAAUGAAAGUCUACAGAGAUCAAUAUUCCCCCAUGAAAGAAUUAUGGUCAAAAGGGUUUUGCAGUAAAACAGAAAAGCUAACCCAGAUGUGGCCCAAACAUUUGGCCAACUGACUUCCAGAAAUGAAAGUUGUUUUUCUUCCUUAAUUCUGCUAAAUUAAAUGGAAGGUAGUGGAAAGUAGUUAAGUGGUGUUUCAUGUGGAAGAUGGAGGCCUGGCUCUAUCCCCAUCUGUCCCUACCCUGGCUUGGCGCUUACUUUACUUAGGACUAACUUGAUAUCAUGCAUCUGUUUUUAGAACCACAGCUUACUUGGAAGAUUACCUGGACCCGUAGCCGAUUCCUUGCAGGGGCCUGGGUGUCUGUUCACUGCAGACCACGUCUCCGGCCUCUUGACCACAAAAUGUGGGAUUUAUCUGUGAAUUUGCUCCUGAUGCAUUGACCUUGGGGUGCAAGCCAUUGCUGGGACACUUCCUGAGGCCUGAUAUAGCAAUAUUUCUAGAAGGAGAUUACAGUUUCCCCAUCAAGGAAAGCUCCAAUUCCUGGAAAGCAGUUGUAACUAAAUGUUCUCUGUACUGGUGGAAAAUAUUUCACAAGUGACCUCUUUUCAGUGUUAAGUCUUAAAGGGUUUCUUGGCUGACCUCCGGAAGCAACCCCAAGACAUUCGAUUCAGACUCUGCGCUUGUAUAUGACACAUGUCAACUCGUCCAUCCGGGGCCACACAGGCUCAGGAAAACUUCUCCAGCAUCAGCGGAAGACUGCACGAUGUUUUGUUUUCUUUUUUGGUGUGUGUUUUUGACCAGGG